CCUACGGGACGCUGCAGUGGGGAAUAUUGCGCAAUGGGCGAAAGCCUGACGCAGCGACGCCGCGUGAGGGAUGACGGCCUUCGGGUUGUAAACCUCUUUCAGCAGGGACGAAGCGCGAGUGACGGUACCUGCAGAAGAAGCACCGGCUAACUACGUGCCAGCAGCCGCGGUAAUACAGAGGUCUCAAGCGUUGUUCGGAUUCAUUGGGCGUAAAGGGUGCGUAGGCGGCGCGGUAAGUCGGGUGUGAAAUCUCGGAGCUUAACUCCGAAACUGCAUUCGAUACUGCGGGACUUGAGUACAGACGAGGUAGGCGGAAUUGACGGUGUAGCGGUGAAAUGCUUAGAUAUCGUCAAGAACACCGAUAGCGAAGGCAGCUUACUAGACUGUAACUGACGCUGAGGCACGAAAGUGCGGGGAUCAAACAGGAUUAGAUACCCUGG
rnacentral:rRNA from 1 species